rnacentral:lncRNA from 1 species
CAGAUGUCCAUGUACUAUUAAGACGGAAUAAUUUAUACUGAAUUCUGCUCUUAAUGUUUUGGUAGAUCUGGAUGUGCUCCGCCUAUGAUCUGGACGUGGAUAGGGUUUCUCUGUCUGUGCUUCUGGCAAAUGUGGUCUGAU